CUCAGUUUUUGCCUCCGAUGAAGCCCUUUCUGACCUCCGUUUGAUGCAAUUUUUAUAUCACCGUGAUCACCAUUCUUUUCUCUACAGGUUGAUCGGAGCCGAAUCACCAAAACACGAACCUCGCCGGAGAGCCGCCGCACCCGAGAGCACCGCCGCCGGUAAGCUUCAGUUUUUCGUAAUUUUUUGGCCCCCCGGGGGCCCUAGGGUUGUUUUAUCACAGGGACCGAUGUAAGUGUGGCCGAAUUCGGCCAGAAACGGCCGAAAACGGCCAACCCGAGGCGAAUCGCCGCCGCAAGCGGCGGCGCCGUCGCCGGAGCAAGGCGGAGCCGCCGUGCUGGAAUUGCGAUAUUGGCCGAAAGGGGCCC
rnacentral:lncRNA from 1 species